AUGAUCAUACUUCAUAGGAUCACUUCUAUAGUAUGAUUGCCAAGUUCCCUGACCGAAACUUGGUGUAACAUCACGCCACGAUGACGAGGCUAAGUGUCCGUCCCUGAGCGGGAAGCUGCCUAAUGGGUAUCCAAUAGGUUUGAGGACCGUCUACCACCUUUAUAGGUGUGUGGCGGGUCGGGCACAGGCUGAGUGGU